AGAGUUUGAUCAUGGCUCAGGAUGAACGCUGACGGCGUGCUUAACACAUGCAAGUCGAGCGAAGCACUUAUGAAAGAUUCUUCGGAUGAUUCCAUUUGUGACUGAGCGGCGGACGGGUGAGUAACGCGUGGGUAACCUGCCUCAUACAGGGGGAUAACAGUUGGAAACGACUGCUAAUACCGCAUAAGCGCACAGUACCGCAUGGUACAGUGUGAAAAACUCCGGUGGUAUGAGAUGGACCCGCGUCUGAUUAGCUAGUUGGUGGGGUAACGGCCUACCAAGGCGACGAUCAGUAGCCGACCUGAGAGGGUGACCGGCCACAUUGGGACUGAGACACGGCCCAAACUCCUACGGGGCGCAGCAG
rnacentral:rRNA from 1 species